rnacentral:rRNA from 1 species
AUACGGAGGGUGCAAGCGUUAAUCGGAAUUACUGGGCGUAAAGCGCGCGUAGGCGGUUUGGUCAGUCGGAUGUGAAAGCCCCAGGCUCAACCUGGGAAUGGCAUUCGAUACUGCCUGACUAGAGUAUGGUAGAGGGAAGUGGAAUUUCCGGUGUAGCGGUGAAAUGCGUAGAUAUCGGAAGGAACACCAGUGGCGAAGGCGACUUCCUGGGCCAAUACUGACGCUAAGGUGCGAAAGCGUGGGGAGCAAACAGGAUUAGAUACCCCGGUAGUCC